UCUCUUGAUGUGUAGUCUAGGCUGCAUAUUAAUUCUGAUGAAACAGCAUCUAAGAGUCUGGCUUGGUGAGGCAUGCCUUUAAUCACAGCAUUCGAAAGGCAGAGGGAGGUGGAUUUCUGUGAGUUCAAGGCCAACCUGGUCUACAAAAACAGUUCCAUACCACUCAUGACCACACAGUAAGUGAGACCCUGUCCCAAAAAGAAGCCAAUAAAUUUCCACUAAAAACCAAAAACUAAAACAAACCACGCUUAAGAUACUAACUGUUCAGAGCUGGGAAGGCACUGGAUCUCAUCACAAAUGGUCGUGAGCCACCAUGUGGUUCCUGGGAAUUCAACUUGGGACCUUUGGAAGAGCAGACGUUGCUCUUAACCUCUGAGCCAUCUCUCCAGCCUGGUAGUGCUCACUUUUAACCCCAACACAUAAGAGGGAGAGACGGGUAGAUCUGUGUAAUUUGAGGACAGCCUCUUCUACAAAGAGUUCCCGGCCAGACUGGGCUACAUAGUGAGACCCUCUCUUAUAAAAUUAAUAAAAAGGGGUUGGAGAGAUGGCUCAGUGGCUAAGAGCAUUGUCUGCUCUUCCAGAGGUCCUGAGUUCAAAUCCCAGCAACCACAUGGUGGCUCACAACCUUCUAUAGUGAGAUCUGGUGCCCUCUUCUGGCACCCAGGUGCACAUGCAAGGUAGAUCAUUCAUACUUAAAUAAAUCUUCAAAAGAUUUUUUU